rnacentral:rRNA from 1 species
UGGGGAAUAUUGCACAAUGGGCGAAAGCCUGAUGCAGCGACGCCGCGUGAGGGAUGACGGCCUUCGGGUUGUAAACCUCUUUCAGCAGGGACGAAGCGCAAGUGACGGGACCUGCAGAAGAAGCACCGGCUAACUACGUGCCAGCAGCCGCGGUAAUACGUAGGGUGCAAGCGUUGUCCGGAAUUACUGGGCGUAAAGAGUUCGUAGGCGGUUUGUCGCGUCGUUUGUGAAAACCAGCAGCUCAACUGCUGGCUUGCAGGCGAUACGGGCAGACUUGAGUACUGCAGGGGAGACUGGAAUUCCUGGUGUAGCGGUGAAAUGCGCAGAUAUCAGGAGGAACACCGGUGGCGAAGGCGGGUCUCUGGGCAGUAACUGACGCUGAGGAACGAAAGCGUGGGUAGCGAACAGG